GCUUACGUCCAUACCACCCUGUCUGCGUCUGAUCUCGGAAGCUAAGCAGGGUCGGGCCUGGUUAGUACUUGAAUGGGAGACCGCCUGGGAAUUACAGAUGCUGUAAGCU
rnacentral:rRNA from 1 species